rnacentral:misc_RNA from 12 species
AGAGAGAGAGAGAGAGAGAGAGAGAGGGGGAAGAGAAAUGAAAUCCUACGCCAUUCUCUCUCUCUCUCUCUCUCUCUCUCUCUCUCUCUCUCU